UACGAAGGGCGCAAGCGUUGUUCGGAAUCAUUGGGCGUAAAGGGUGCGUAGGCGGUUAAGUAAGUCAGCUGUGAAAGCCCCAAGCUCAACUUGGGAAUUGCAGUUGAAACUGCUUUGCUAGAAUUUGGCGGGGGAUAAUGGAAUUCUUAGUGUAGGGGUGAAAUCCGUAGAUAUUAAGAGGAACAUCAGAGGCGAAGGCGAUUAUCUACACCAAUAUUGACGCUGAGGCACGAAAGCGUGGGGAGCAAACAGG
rnacentral:rRNA from 1 species